GAUGAACGCUGGCGGCGUGCCUAAUACAUGCAAGUCGAGCGAACAGACGAGGAGCUUGCUCCUCUGACGUUAGCGGCGGACGGGUGAGUAACACGUGGAUAACCUACCUAUAAGACUGGGAUAACUUCGAGAAACCGGAGCUAAUACCGGAUAAUAUAUUGAACCGCAUGGUUCAAUAGUGAAAGACGGUUUUGCUGUCACUUAUAGAUGGAUCCGCGCCGCAUUAGCUAGUUGGUAAGGUAACGGCUUACCAAGGCAACGAUGCGUAGCCGACCUGAGAGGGUGAUCGGCCACACUGGAACUGAGACACGGUCCAGACUCCUACGGGAGGCAGCAGUAGGGAAUCUUCCGCAAUGGGCGAAAGCCUGACGGAGCAACGCCGCGUGAGUGAUGAAGGUCUUCGGAUCGUAAAACUCUGUUAUUAGGGAAGAACAAAUGUGUAAGUAACUAUGCACGUCUUGACGGUACCUAAUCAGAAAGCCACGGCUAACUACGC
rnacentral:rRNA from 1 species